ACAGGUGUGCUGUGUUCGCCCUCUGCUCCACUUCGAGUGUCGACUGAGGCAAGAUGUGCUUGUAUGAAAGAGCAUGAUUCUACGUCAGCUCGUGUCCGACAGCAGCUGCUGAGGUGCCGAUAUGCGAUACUGGUCCACCUGAAGAAGCGUCU